GUGCUAGCUUGCUAGAAUUUAGAUACAGGUGCUGCACGGCUGUCGUCAGCUCGUGUCGUGAGAUGUUGGGUUAAGUCCCGCAACGAGCGCAACCUCGUGUUUAGUUGCUAACAGUUCGGCUGAGAACUCUAAACAGACUGCCUACGCAAGUAGGAGGAAGGUGAGGACGACGUCAAGUCAUCAUGGCCCUUACGGCCAGGGCUACACACGUGCUACAAUGGGGUAUACAAAGAGCAGCGAUACGGUGACGUGGAGCAAAUCUAGAAAAUGCCUCUCAGUUCGGAUUGUAGUCUGCAACUCGACUACAUGAAGUUGGAAUCGCUAGUAAUCGUAGAUCAGCAAUGCUACGGUGAAUACGUUCCCGGGUCUU
rnacentral:rRNA from 1 species